AGUGAACGCUGGCGGUAGGCCUAACACAUGCAAGUCGAACGGCAGCACAGUAAGAGCUUGCUCUUACGGGUGGCGAGUGGCGGACGGGUGAGGAAUACGUCGGAAUCUACUUUUUCGUGGGGGAUAACGUAGGGAAACUUACGCUAAUACCGCAUACGACCUACGGGUGAAAGCAGGGGAUCUUCGGACCUUGCGCGAUUGAAUGAGCCGAUGUCGGAUUAGCUAGUUGGCGGGGUAAAGGCCCACCAAGGCGACGAUCCGUAGCUGGUCUGAGAGGAUGAUAAGCAACCUUGGAACUGAGACACGGUCCAGACUACUACGGGAGGCAGCAGUGGGGAAUAUUGGACAAUGGGCGCAAGCCUGAUCCAGCCAUACCGCGUGGGUGACGAAGGCCUUCGGGUUGUAAAGCCCUUUUGUUGGGAAAGAAAAGCAGCAGGUUAAUACCACGCUGUUCUGACGGUACCCAAAGAAUAAGCACCGGCUAACUUCGUG
rnacentral:rRNA from 1 species